AAACGACUCUCGGCAACGGAUAUCCCGGCUCUCGCAUCGAUGAAGAACGUAGCGAAAUGCGAUACUUGGUGUGAAUUGCAGAAUCCCGUGAACCAUCGAGUCUUUGAACGCAAGUUGCGCCCGAGGCCACUAGGUUGAGGGCACGUCUGCCUGGGUGUCACGC
rnacentral:rRNA from 1 species